ACGUGGGCUCCCGCGCGCUGGCCCCGCGGCCCGGGCCGCUGCGAGCCUCUCCCCGUGCCCGGUUUUCUCCCUCCUGGCGUUCGUUUCCGCUGCGUGACGUCCACGCUUGACAUUCCUGGAGGCUUUUGCAGCGUUUUCUUCCCCCUUGCGUUCGUUUCCAUUGCAUGAUGUCCACGCUCAACGACAUUCCUGGAGGCUUUUGCAGCGUUUUCUCCCUCCUUGCGUUCGUUUCCACUGCGUGAGGUCCACGCUUGACAUCCCUGGAGGCUUGCUUAGCGCCACGCGUCCAGUCUCAGAGAGGCAGAGGGAGAAGCAGGCUCCAUGCAGGGAGCCCGAUGUGGGACUUGAUCCCGAGACUCCAGGACCAUGCCCUGGGCCGAAGGUGGUCCCACAGUUUCGUGAUUAGACCUACAAAUUCAAUGUCAGCAAGCUGUCCAGAGGCACCUUCCCUGGAUCUUAAUGAAGAAUGACCUGCUUCUCUGAGAUUCCACUUCCUCUGAAGCUUAGAGAUGCUAAUAGCAAAAGAAACUUAGAAAGAGGGCAGAAGCAUAGAAAAAAAAGCAGGGAAAUGUGGUAACCCAGGAAGGCAAGGGAAGAAUGUUUCUCAAGGAAGAGAUAAAGAACUGGAUUUACUGCAGACGGUGGGCCAGGGACAGUGAGGUCCGAGAAACUGGCCAUUGGGGUCAACCACAUGCAGGUCAUGAUGGACCACAAGUGGGAUGAAGUUCCAAAGUAGCCAGAAAUCUCGGCAUGGAAAUAUGACAUGCAGAGGGAAGAGUGGAGAGGCCUCCCAGAGCAAGAGAAUGAGAAGCCCCACAGAAGAAGCCCAUCCAGAGAAAGUGGCUGAGUCACAGAGUGAUGGGGCACUGGACUUUCCUGGCCCAUCCAUCUGUCCCAGCCCCUCACGAUGACCUAUGCCCCCUGAUGUUCUGGAGUCCCUGGUCCCUGUCCCUGUGAGUGUGUACACAUGGGAGCUGCUCUACUGAGGCUCCCCUGAGUGCACUGAGCAGACCCCAAAAUCACAACUGUCUCUAUUGUACUAAAUCAGAGUCGCAUGCAAGCAAGAUGUGGUCAGAGGGUCCUGAAUUAAGACAGAAGAACAGAAACAAAAUGGUGAAUGGGAUCAAUGCAGAAGGCAUCAGGAUUUAUUUGUGGUGUGGUAACAACAUAAGGACCUCUCCAGAGGUCUCAUAGGAAAGGGAUCAGUCUCUUCUGGACUUCUUCCUCAGCCUGAUUAUGGCAGGAAGUGAUGGAAACCUGAGGAAAGCCUGCUUUUUGUAGUGAUGAUGAUCAACAGUGGUUGUCUGGGGGUGGCCAUGGUAGGCAUCACCCUAAACCGAGAGUCCAGAUGAGCUGGUACCUUGGAUUCCUGAAGUGUGGGUGCUGAGCAGUAUGCAUUUGUGAAAGAUAUCCCUAGAGAGACCUUUGACUGAGGUUGGCAUUCUUGGUGGUAAAAUUUGCUUUUUUUUUUUUUUUCAUAACAAAUGUACAGAAUUCAGAAUUUGUUAUAGUUCUGGGCACUGAGGUCAAGUAAUAGCUGGAUCACCCAAGAGAUCAGGAAAUCUCUCACACUUAACCAUCUUGGGAAGGCUUUCCUGGAUGUCUGCUUUAGGUCACCAAGGAAGAAAUUUCUAGACCUAUUCCAGGCCCAUGGAUGUUAAGACGUUAAGGAAAUAUUCAUCAGAGUCUAGAUGAUUUUGAUUAGAUUUAAAUGUAGACUCUUUGUUUUCAUUUUGUGCUGUGUUGGCCAAGUUUUAAGAUUUUUUUUGAAGCUUUUAUUUAUUUAUUUGAGAGAGACAGAGACAGAGAUAGCAAGAGACAGCAGGAAUGGUGAAGAGAGGGAGAAGGAGCAGGCUUGAUCCCAGGACCCUGAGGUCAUGACCUGAGCCAAAGUUAGAUGCUUACUGACUGAGUCACCCAGAUGCCCUAGUUUUAGGCUUUUCACAAUAAGAUUUAUUGAACAACUACUUUGUGCCAAGUUGUACCUCAAUGCUGGGAAUG